rnacentral:lncRNA from 1 species
AGUGGCGGGGUUCUCGCCGGUCCUGCGGGUCGCUGCUUGGCUGUGGGUUAGCAGCACCCUGAGCGGAGCGGAAGAGCUGCCCGCCGCCGCGUAACCCCGAGGCCGAGACUCCUGGCCUGGCCUCCUUGGGCCCACGACGCCUGCCCCGCGGAGCGGACCCAUGGGCCUGAGGUUUGUGUGCGGGGCCUCAGGCGAGCGCUGGCGCAGCCUGUCCCCCAUCGUCUGCGCCCUGCGGGCCUGGCCCUCCCCGUGGAAGGACCGCGGGCUUCGGGGCCCCACGCUGGGGGGCUGACUCCUGCCACACACACAGCGGUGGCCGCGGGCCUGGGGCGGCAGCACAGCCAUUCUGCUCGGGCUGCGUGAGCUGACCCCGCUCUCUGUGCACCUACUUUUGCUGCGUUUGGUGCUGAGCCUGAAGUCCCAGGACAGGCGGCUGAGGGGGAAAGAUGGUGUGAAUUGGGUGGGCAGAGACAACUGAAAGCCACAGGACCCGGUUGGCACCUUUUUGGCCGCCUGCGCCUUUGCCUGCAGCCCCGCUCCCUGGGUCACCCGAAGGAGGAGCUGGCGCUCUUUCCGGGCGCAGAAGCACCCGACCCACGCUGGAGGAAACGGUCCCUCUGGGCAGGAGAAGCUUUGGGCCUGGCUGGAGCACACUCACGGAACCACGCCAACGCCUGGCCUGUAGCCAGCUCCCACCUCCCCUCCCACCUUCUAAAAUGCUUGCGGAUCUCACGUGGCCGACCCUAACCAGAUACACAUGGGGAAAGGAAUCAGGUGGCACACAUACCGCCUUUACUCCAUAGAGAACUUCCAAUUGUGGGUAAGAACAAAGCCCCACCUCUUCCUAAUAGAUGCAGUUUUCCACCUGCAGCCAAAAAGACAACCUGUUAUUAGCUUUUUUCCCAGAGGACAGGCAUCUCUAUGAAACUGCCAUUGCAAAAUUUGCCGACAGUGAGAUAACCAGCUCCAUUUUGCUUCUAACCUCCAUGCCCUCCUUGUUUACUGCUGCACGCAGGUUGAACUGUGGGAGGAACUUAGUUUAAAACAAAGAUGAUAACAGCCCUUUCCCAAAGGAAACCUUUCCUGGGGAUUAGCCUGCUUUUGUGGGACCAACAGAUUAGCCACAAGAUUAGAAACUACGGUUGAAGAGUCACGCAGCGGGAGGCUACAGGAUUCUGACCCUCCCCAAACUGCUCCUGGCGAUAACAUCACCAUCGUAAAGCCUAAGAUCAGCACUUGGUGGGUCACCUGGCACCACCCAGGCUCAUCUGAUGUUGUGGCACCCAGGAACUGACUCAGUGCGAAAACAGCUUCGACUCCCUGUGAUUUCAUCUCUGACCUGACCAAUGGGUCGGCACAGACGCAACCCAGUCUCCUCCCACCUCCGAGAGUGCAGUGUCCUGAAUGGAGAACCCCAGCACCCAGAAGCAUCCACUGAAG